AGAGUUUGAUCCUGGCUCAGAGCGAACGCUGGCGGCAUGCCUAACACAUGCAAGUCGCACGGUCAGCAAUGGCAGUGGCGGACGGGUGAGUAACGCGUAGGGACGUAUCCGGAGGUGGGGGAUAACCCUGGGAAACUAGGGCUAAUACCGCAUAUGGCCUGAGGGUCAAAGCAGCAAUGCGCCUAUGGAGCGACCUGCGUCCGAUUAGCUAGUUGGUAAGGUAACGGCUUACCAAGGCUCUGAUCGGUAGCUGGUCUGAGAGGAUGAUCAGCCACACUGGGACUGAGACACGGCCCAGACUCCUACGGGAGGCAGCAGUGGGGAAUAUUGGACAAUGGGCGCAAGCCUGAUCCAGCAAUGCCGCGUGUGUGAAGAAGGUCUUCGGAUUGUAAAGCACUUUCGGCGGGGACGAUGAUGACGGUACCCGCAGAAGAAGCCCCGGCUAACUUCGUGCCAGCAGCCGCGGUAAUAC
rnacentral:rRNA from 1 species